UACGUAGGUGGCAAGCGUUGUCCGGAUUUAUUGGGCGUAAAGGGAGCGCAGGCGGUGACUUAAGUCUGAUGUGAAAGCCCACGGCUCAACCGUGGAAGGUCAUUGGAAACUGGGUCACUUGAAUAUAGAAGAGGAAAGUGGAAUUCCAUGUGUAGCGGUGAAAUGCGUAGAUAUUCGGAGGAACACCAGUGGCGAAGGCGGCCUACUGGGCUCUAACUGACGCUGAGGCUCGAAAGUGUGGGGAGCAAACAGGAUUAGAUACCCUGGUA
rnacentral:rRNA from 1 species